rnacentral:lncRNA from 1 species
GAGAGAUGGAGAUAGACUUAACACCUUCAACACCAGGAACUUGCGUAGAAUCUUUAAGAUAUUUUGGCCAACUACGAUAUCCAACGCAGAACUGCUACAAAAAGCCAACAUGUGCAGCAUAACCAACACCAUUAAGAUCAGGAGAUGGAGUUGGAUAGGUCACAUCCUGAGGAUGGACCCAUGGAAUGAUUGUAGAAUCGCCUUGACAUGGACACCACCAGGAAAGAGAAAUGUAGGAAGACCAAAAGAAACUUGGAGACGAAUGGUAGAUAAGGAAAGAACAGAGUUUGGAUGGAGAACAUGGGGAGAAGCACAACAAGCAGCAGCAGACAGACUCAGAUGGAAGGCUUCCAUUCGCGCCCUAUGCGACACAUGGCGCUAACGGGAGUUGUAAGUUGUAAGUUGUA